GCGGCUUAGCGUGCUCGGGGACUGUGCUCUUGCAGGUGGUGGCCUUCGCUUCCGUAGGUUCGCGUUGUAGCGUUGGGCCGUUGAGGUAUAAAUGACAGGUUGUUACCGUCUUUCCAGCGAGAGAGGGCGGUGAGACAGCACUUCCUGAAGUGGGACUUGUGGUCUCGGAAGAGUUGUGACCCGUGAGAUAAUUAAGCAAAUUCUCAAAGGAAAAUGGACGAUGACUGCUUAUGUCCAGAUUUAUUUAUCUCCUGGCAUAGCCAUUAUUAGUUUUUAACUACACAUCUACAAAUUUUAUAAUUUAGCUAACAAGAAUAGGCUCGAACUCCAAGGCAGGAGCAGAUUCCAGGAGUACUGUGCUCAGAAAAUUGUGCUACCAUCCUGUCCGUGGUCCUGCAUAGACAUUGCUAGGAAAAAUGCAUCAUUUAAUCAGCUGCCAGAGCUCAGAAGACAGCCUCUCUAUAGCUUAUAUCCAGACCAGAUAGUAGUGUGAAGAUCAGUACAGUAUCUUGUACUGCCUCUUAAUCUACUCCUUACGGCCACCUUCUGCGCCAACUGACAUGUUUCAUCAUAGUUAUUCAGCAGGGGGAGGAAUGACAAGAUCCUAACAGAAGAAAAAUAGAGCUGAAAAUAAAGGAAGAAAUGGCAUUCCUAAGCUGCCUAGUGACACUCUGUGAGCAUCACUACCCACUGGUGAGAGGCACUUACAAAGUCCUCCACCGUUGCAAAGGAAACAUGGAACUAUAAACUUAGAACCUCUCAGGAUCAUCAAGGUCAAAUGUAUUAGAAUAUAUCAACAGGAAAGGAUGCAGGAAAGAAAAGGCAUUUAUCUAAAACCAUGAGCUAGGUAUUUCACUUCCAGCUACGUCCUAAAGAUCUGUUGAUGCUGAAAUAAGCCAGACUAGAUGAAAGACCGAUUGACUUAUCUUUUGUGGAGCUACCUCACAAAAGUAUUCCAAGAGCAUAUAAGGCAGAAGAGUGGGCUGGAGAGGUAAGUUUUUCUACAAGCGCUCUGUAACCUUGGAAAAGCUGCUCACAAAAAACAAAGAUGACAUCUUGCAUGUAAUUGGGUUCCUGUAAGUGAGAUGGAACACACACAUGAUACCUAACCAGAAACUAUGGGAAGUUUCCAAUCUUGCUUCUGCGUAAUCUUGCUCUCCACAUUUGCCAUUUAAAGAGACACAGUAAAGUAUCCUACAUCAUGUGGUGGUGGUGGUGGUGGUGGUGGUGGACACUGUCCCCACCCUCCAAAAAACCUUGCCCACACACACUUUUCUAACUGGAUUUUCUUCAACAUGGAAAAACACUACUGCUAGUCUUCCUCCUGGAUUGAGUUAACAUGAAAAUACGGACUUGCUAGAUGGAUCUUUUUUGUGGAACCAGCCUUGAUAUUAACACCUCAUGUUUGAUUGACAGUGUUGACUGUACUCCAGUCAAAGAAGGAACAAUGAGGAAUGAGUUCCAAGCUCUUUUUCUACUUAAUGAAAGAAGGUUGGCCAUUUGUUUUAACUGCCUACCCAGACAUGAAUUACAUUAUUAAAUAUAGAAUUCUUGUCUAUAUCCCUUUACAAAUCUUCCCAAUAAUAUUUCAAGCACAGGUCUGGCUCUCUCUUUACCUCUACACAGUCAAACUUUUCAUUAACUUUAGACGUAUACUCAAUGCGGAAAAGCGUUGACAGGUUACCAGCGAUAUAGUACAAGAGGAUCUUCAGACCCUUGUAACCAAAGGCAACUUCACUGAGAAAGAAAAAAAAAAA